rnacentral:piRNA from 1 species
AAUGGUGUGAUGAAUUCCUUACAGGAU